rnacentral:rRNA from 1 species
AUUGAACGCUGGCGGCAGGCCUAACACAUGCAAGUCGAGCGGAUGAAGGGAGCUUGCUCCUGGAUUCAGCGGCGGACGGGUGAGUAAUGCCUAGGAAUCUGCCUGGUAGUGGGGGAUAACGUCCGGAAACGGGCGCUAAUACCGCAUACGUCCUGAGGGAGAAAGUGGGGGAUCUUCGGACCUCACGCUAUCAGAUGAGCCUAGGUCGGAUUAGCUAGUUGGGGGGUAAAGGGCUACCAAGGCGACGAUCCGUAACUGGUCUGAGAGGAUGAUCAGUCACACUGGAACUGAGACACGGUCCAGACUCCUACGGGAGGCAGCAGUGGGGAAUAUUGGACAAUGGGCGAAAGCCUGAUCCAGCCAUGCCGCGUGUGUGAAGAAGGUCUUCGGAUUGUAAAGCACUUUAAGUUGGGAGGAAGGGCAGUAAGUUAAUACCUUGCUGUUUUGACGUUACCAACAGAAUAAGCACCGGCUAACUUCGUG